rnacentral:misc_RNA from 1 species
ACAAGGUUGUACAGAGUAGUCCGUUAACACCCUACCCUACCUGAAACAAAUGCCAGAAAAAUGUUUGCAGACAGAUCUAUACACUGCUCUGCAUAUGGCGAUGAGUUUCCGACACACCAAAGAAAAUCAUCCGAUGUGGGGUGCAUAAAUCAAGCGUCAUGAUGAUCAAUCAUCCAAUCAAUCAACAGCCUUUGCACACUUGGGCACCUGUCGCCCAGCAUAAGAAUGCCAUCAGGUAAAGUGUGAGA